GACGUCUUCGCGUGGAAGCCCUCAGACAUGCCCGGCAUUCCGAGAGAAGUCGCCGAGCACUCCUUGAACAUCAAGGCCGGCUCCAAGCCAGUGAAGCAAGGACUGCGCUGCUUCGACGAGGAGAGGCGCAAGGCCAUCGGCGAGGAGCUCCAGAAGCUUUUGACGGCCGGAUUCAUCAAGGAAGUGUACCACCCCGAGUGGCUAGCUAACCCUGUUCUUGUACGAAAAAAGAAUGGGAAAUGGAGGAUGUGUGUUGAUUAUACCGGCCUCAACAAGGCGUGCCCAAAGGAUCCGUUUCCUUUGCCACGCAUAGAUCAGAUAGUCGACUUGACUGCCGGGUGCGAAACCCUUAGCUUCCUUGACGCGUAUUCCGGCUACCAUCAGAUUGCGAUGAAAGAAUCCGACCAGCUCGCUACCUCUUUCAUCACCCCCUUCGGCCCCUACUGCUACAUUAAGAUGCCAUUCGGCCUCAAAAACGCGGGGGCUAUGUUUCAGCGAUGCAUGCUGAAAUGUUUCGGGGACCUCAUCGGGCGGACCGUUGAGGCUUACAUUGACGAUAUCAUAGUCAAAUCCAGGAGGGGUGACCAGCUUGUCCCUGACCUUGAACUAGCCUUCGAAAGGCUGAGGGAUAAGCGUAUUAAGCUCAAUCCCGAAAAAUGCAUUUUUGGAGUUCCAAGGGGCAUGCUGCUAGGCUUCAUCGUCUCCGUGCGCGGCAUCGAAGCCAAUCCGGAGAAGAUAGCGGCCAUCAGCGACAUGGGGCCAAUCCGAAACAUAAAGGGAGUCCAGCGCGUCAUGGGAUGCUUAGCGGCCCUGAGCCGCUUCAUCUCGCGCCUUGGCGAACGGGGGCUUCCUCUUUAUCGACUCCUAAAGAAGACUGACCGCUUCGAAUGGACGGACGAGGCCCAAGAGGCACUUGACCAACUCAAGGACCUCCUAACGAAGGCCCCGAUCCUGGUCCCGCCGACCGACGGCGAGCCCCUCCUGCUCUACAUCGCGGCGACCACCCAGGUGGUUAGCGCGACCUUAGUGGUGGAACGAGAAGAGGAGGGACACGCUCUCAAGGUGCAACGCCCGGUGUACUUUGUCAGCGAAGUCUUGUCCGAGUCCAAGGCACGCUACCCGCAGAUCCAGAAGCUCAUCUAUGCCGUCCUCAUCACGAGGAGGAAGCUGCGCCACUACUUCACCUCCCACCCGGUAACGGUUGUUUCGUCAUUCCCACUAGGCGAAGUGAUCUGGAACCAGGACGCCACGGGACGGAUCGCGAAGUGGGCGCUCGAGCUCAUGGACCAGGGCAUCACCUACGCCCCCCGCACCGCCAUCAAGUCCCAGGUACUCGCCGAUUUCGUAGUAGAGUGGACGGAGACCCAAACGCCAUCGGCGCCGGAGAAGCAGGAGUACUGGACAAUGUACUUCGAUGGGUCGUUGAUGAGGGCCCGUGCCGGAGCAGGCCUCGUCUUCGUCUCUCCUCUAGGCGUGCGCAUCAGGUACAUGAUCCACCUCCACUUUCCUGCGUCCAACAAUGUCGCCGAGUACGAGGCCCUCCUCAACGGGCUUCGCAUCGCCAUUGAGCUGGGCAUCCGUCGGCUAGACAUCCGGGGUGACUCCCAACUAGUCGUCGAACAAGUUAUGAAGGAGUGGAGCUGCCACGACCCCAAGAUGGCAGCCUACUGCAACGAGGUUCGCAAGCUUGAAGACAAGUUCGACGGGCUGGAGCUCAACCACGUCGCAAGGCGCUUCAACGAGGUCGCCGACGAGCUGGCGAAGGCAGCAUCCGGCCGAAUGCCCGUCCCCGACGGCGUCUUCAUCAGCGACCAAUUCAAGCCUUCAAUUCGUUACCAAGAACCGGCGAGGGUCGGCGAAGCGCCACCAGCUCCGGGCUCGGGUCCCGACCUAGGGGUGGUCGGCAGCGCGCCACUUGUCCUAGGCCCGGGUGCCAGCCCCGACAGGGUUGGCACCGCUUUGCCUGACUCGGCCCCGGAAGCCGACCCCUCCAGCCCCAUGGUCAUGGAAAUCGCGACAGACCCCGCGGUGGGGCCCGACCCCCCAAUCGACUGGAGAGCCCCAUACCUCGAUUACCUCGUCCGCGACACGCUCCCGGCGAACAAAACGGAGGACCGUAGGAUCGCACGUCGCGCCAAAUCCUUCGCCAUUAUCGAUCAGUAGCUCUACAAGAGAAGCCACACCGGUGUCCUCCAGCGCUGCAUCCCGAUCGAACAGGGAAAGGCACUGAUCCAGGACAUCCACGCCGGAGCCUGCGACCACCACGCUGCGCCAAGAACCCUCGUUGGUAACGCCUUCUGGCAAGGUUUCUACUGGCCGACGGCGGUCGCCGACGCCACCCAAGUAGUCUGCACCUGUGAGGGCUGCCAGUUCUUUGCGCGCCAAACCCAUCUGCUCGUGUAGGCACUCCAGACCAUCCCCAUCACGUGGCCGUUCGCGGUCUGGGGGCUGGAUCUCGUCGGGCCCUUCAAGAAAGCGCCCGGGGGCUUCACCCACCUACUUGUCGCUGUUGACAAGUUCUCUAAGUGGAUCGAAGCAAGACCGGUCGCGAAAAUCAAAUCCGUGUAGGCGGUACAGUGCUUCACCGACAUCAUCCAUCGCUUCGGAAUCCCCAACUCCAUCAUCACCGACAAUGGCAAGUAGUUCACUGGGAAGAAAUUUCUGCAGUUUUGCGACGACCACCACAUCUGGGUAGACUGGUCGGCCGUGGCACACCCCCGCACGAACGGGCAGGUCGAGCGAGCCAACGGCAUGAUACUCCAGGGACUCAAGCCACGGAUCUUCGACCGCCUCAAAAAGUUUGGCGGACGGUGGGUCGCCGAGCUUCCCGCGGUCCUUUGGAGCCUGAGGACAACCCCCAGUCGGGCGACUGGCUUCACCCCGUUCUUCAUGGUCUACGGGUCCGAGGCCAUCCUGCCCACCGACCUGGAAUACGGAUCGUCGAGGGUCAAGGCAUACGACGAACAAGGGAACCAGGCAUCGCUCGAAGACGCACAAGAUCAGCUCGAUGAGGCGCGCGACAUGGCCCUGUUGCACUCGGCCAAAUACCAGUCGCGCAAAUCAAAUCUGAGCGUAGAGGUCUUUGUUGUGACUUGAGGGGUCUUUUCUAGUGGCACCUUUUCCUCAGGCCUUUCUUCACCAACGACCACAUUCUUCCCUUUAGCAUUUUCGGCUUGAUCCGGCUGAAUAAGCACCUUGGGAUUCAUCAAUUCAAGAGUAUUUACCGGAAAAGGAUUCCAAUCAACUUGCAUUUCAUGAAAAACCAAACGACCUUCAUUAAUAGCUGAUUGUAUUUGCCGACAAAACACAUAACAGUCAUUAGUUGCAUGAGAAUAGGAAUUAUGCCAUUUGCAAUAUGCACGCCUUUUCAAUUCUUUAUGCGAUGGCAUGGUAUGAGUUAUCUUAAUCUCCCCACGUGUAUGCAACUCAUCAAAAUCCCUAUCGCACUUGGCUAUAUCAUAAGUAAAUUUCACAUCUUCCUGCCGAUUCUUUCGGACCAGCUUGAGAGAAGCACAAGGACUAGGUUUACCCUUGUGUGGACAUACAAGUUCAAUAGUUAAAACAUCAUUGCCUUCAUCGUCCGAAUCACCAGAUGCAUAAUCAACGGCAUAAACAGGAUGACUGGCCUUUUCAUUAGCCUUUUGCGAGCUUACCUCGGCUUUUAUUAGCCAGAGCCUUCUGUAAUACUUGACCAACAUCUAGAAAAUCUUGCCCUUCUAGAUUUUCUUUAUGAAAUUCAAGUAAACCAAAAUAAGCUAAAUCAGCUAAAUCUCUAUCAGAAAUUGUCAGACCAUAGCAUCGGUUUCUAGUAUCUCUGAAUCUUCUAAUGUAUUCAGAAACAAUUUAAUGCAACUUUUGCUUAACCGAUGUAAGAUGUGACAACUUUAAUUCAGAUUCACCGGUAAAGAAAUAAUCAUGGAACUUUUGCUCUAAAUCAGCCCAACUGCGAAUAGAAUUAGGUGGCAAUGAAGCAAACCAUGUGAAUGCAGCACCCGACAAAGAUAAAGAAAAUAACCUUAUCCUAUAAAUAUCAUUGCAGCUGGCUUCACCACAUUGUAUGAUAAAUUGUACUAUGUGUUCUAAUGUGGUCCUAUCAUCAUCACCGGUGAACUUAGUAAAUUCUGGAGUCCUAAACCCUUGCGGAAAUUGCACACAUUCAUAAGUCAAAGGGUAAGGCUUUUGAUAUGUUCUUUUUGGGAUCCUAGGAUCUCUACCGAAAAUUUGCUUAAACAUCUCAAACAUCUCCCCCUUAAUUCUUCCAAAUCAGCCCUAGGCCGAUUAGAAGCAACGUUGUGAGCACCGACAAUAUUAGAAGGCGUUGUACUAUAUGUACCAUGCUGCUGCGAUUGAUUCGACAUUGAAGAUUGCAACGAACCAUUAGCAUUGGGCAAAGGAACAUAUGUACUAACUGGGGGCAUACCAUACUCAACCGUAUGCGGUAUCAAGGCAUUAGUAACAUUCAUUGCAUUCCCUCCACCAGCCGAAUUACCAAUGGUAGUACGGCUAUGUAUGUGAUUUAUUGGUGAUGCACCAAUGGGAAUCUUAGGUAUAGGCAGAGUAUUCAGAAUAUCACUAUCCUUAUUGUUUUCGGCAUUGGAAGUAGAACCAUUAGGAUCUUUGCCAGAAAUCAAUAGGUUAACUUUAGCAUCUAUUUGACCAACAAGCUUUGCAAAAUUUUCAUUCAUAGCAUCGAACUUAUUGUUCAUGUGAGCAGCAACACUAGUGUCAACUAAAUUUGCAAUUUUUUUAAUUAACACUAGGAGAUGCAUCGGAUCGAACCUUGGUUUGGGGAAGAUCGAUGAUGACAUCCUUGUCCUUCUUGACGUUCCCUUGUCAAUCCAUGGAGAAUUAUGACAUGUAUUGCCUCGUAGCUUCUUCUUCCAGCUCCCGGAUAUCCUGCUCCUUGUUCUCACGGAUCUUCCUUCUGAUCUCAUCCAGUGGUUUCUGAUCCUCGGCCAAUAGUUGAUCCACCUUCGGCCUUUGUAUGUUUUCGGCGUCGAUCUCAGCAGGUUUAGGUAUCUCACCGGCCAUGGCAGCUGAUUGAUCUUCCUUCUUCCCCAACGGAGUUGCCAAAAUGUGUUGACGCUUUUUUGGGGCCAACACACGAAAGCACUCGAGUGUGCAGCGCGUGGAGGAGCUUGAUGCAGCGCCUUGCACAUGCCGAUCAACCCGGUUUGAUGGACCGGUCAGACCGGUUCGCCGGUGAGCCCGGUGGUGAACCUUCAAACGCUCACCCGGGAAGUUGUUAGGGAAGUUGAGUUAUACAACUCUUAGUUGGACAGAUUUUUAAGUUCUUUAGCAAAAAUUUGAGUUAUGGCAUAAACAGUUAUUUAGGUUGUGAGGGCAAAAGUGUCUUUUUUUUACUUGUAUUCACAGCUGCCAAUUGUUCUCUUAUGCUCUAAUGACCUUACUUAAGAUUAAACAUGGUUUAAUUAGGCUAGGUUGUUACAUGAAACCCAAGAGAAAUUCGUUGGGGCGUAACCCUCGAAACGACGCGCUAUAUCGGAGCCCGAGUAUGGUGUUAAAUAGGCAAGGGCCGGGUCGUCUCCCCCUUAGUGACGUGUCGUGUCACGAUCUGGGCAUGGUGUCAAGUGAGAAAGGAUUGGGUCAUCAUUUCCUUAGUGGCGCGCUACAUCGGCGUCCGGGUGCAGUGAAAAAUGAGCAAGGGUCUUCACAUCUCUCUUGACAAGUGCGAAGGGCGAGGAAGCUAGUCGAACCAACUAGGAUUUGUGUAGGUAGUUGGAAUGUAGGGUCUCUUACAGGUAAGUUAAGUGAGUUAGUUGAAGUACCGACUAGGAGGCGUGUAAAUAUCUUAUGCAUUCAAGAGACAAAAUGGAAGGGUUAGAAGGUGAAGGAGGUUGACAAUACCGGUUUCAAACUUUGGUACAUAGGGACAACUGCAAAUAGAAAUGGAGCGGGAGUUUUAAUUGACAAGAGUUUUAAGGAUGGAGUGGUGGACUUGAGAAGGCAAGGGGAUAGGAUUAUCUUAGUUAGGCUUGUCGUUGGUUAUAUGGUCCUUGAAAAGUAUCUUGGCCCCCUAAGUGGAUUUUGGUGAUUUAUGACAAAAGCUUAAGUAACUAAUAAAGUUUCAAGUGCAUGAGCAGAUUUAAAUUGAUUAUUGGUCAUGGAGCACUUGUGACAGACCCCUCAAAAGGAAAUGAAAUAUGAAGCGGCAUCCUAUCUAGUUUAAAUUUAUUUUCGGUUUGAUUUUGAGUAUAGGAAAGCCGCACUAUUUUUGAUGAUGAAAAAGGUGCUAAAGAUGACCUAACAAAACCUAUGAGAGACACCAUUUGUACUUGAACAUCACAUGGGGAUAAUUAGAAGUGCUAACCAAAGAAAUUCAAAAUUUUCCGAAAGUUUUCCCGGAAUAUUCCGGAAGUCGAGAGUUUUCGGAGAGUCUCCGGAGGUCCGGAUGUUUCCGAAAGUUUUUUCAGAAAAUUCCGGAGGUCUGGAUCUUUCCAGAAGUUUUUCCAAAAAAUUCCGAAGAUUACGGAAAUCUUCGGAGAAAGUUCUAGAAAAUUCCGGAAUCUUUGUUAUAACGGCUAGUUCUGGAGUGAAGGGGCAUAAGUACCCCCUCACCCCGUUCCUUGCGCCCUCUCUUGCCUCUCUACUGUUCUAAGGUGCAGAAACACUCUAGAGCUCCUCUCUUGCUCCUCUUUAGCUUUCUUGUGAGACUUGUUGGGGAUUUGAGGAGAGAUUGGUGAGUGGGCAAGGGAUUGUGCUAGUGAGCUGCAACUCCAUCUCUUGAUCACCUUCGUUCUUCGUCAAGCCGGUGAUUCGUGUUUGUUACUCUUGGAGCUUCAAGCUCCUAGCCAGUUAGGCAUCCCCCGGAUGAGCAUCCAAGCUUGUGGCAGCCCCGGGAAGUUUGUAUUACCCCUACAAUUGAGUAAGUAACUCUAGCUUGAUCUUUGUGGUCGCUAGAGGGAGGAAAGUGGCUUGAUGAUAUAAGCCCACCCUUUGUGGGUCCUCAACAGAGACGUAGGCUUCGCGGUGUGAAGCUGAACUUCGGUAACAAAUCCUUGUGUCACUCUUGCUUAUUGUUCUUGUUUUCAUACAUAUUUUUGCAUAGAACGCACAUUUAGGGUUUGUACUCGAUCUAAUUUUCUAGGUUGCUUGGAGCUGUUCCUUGUUGCUGAAUAGACUUAGAACAACCUGUUGAACAACCUAUAUUCAUCGAUCUAAAUUCUAACAGGUUUUUCUUUGAGCUGUAGUUGUUUUCGGAGGAAUCCGGAAUAAUCCGGAGAUUUCUCCAGAAAUUUCUGAAAUCCGGAACAACCUCCGGAAAUCUCCAGAAUUGUCUGAUCAACUUGUUUUUAAGUGUAAAUUUUUCAGAUUCGACUAUUCACCCCUCUCUAGGCAACACUCUAGAUCCUUUCAGUCCUGAAUGUAAUUAUUACAUAUGCCCCCCCAAGUAGGCCACGAUGAGAGUGCUAAGAGGCUUUUCUGGGAAGGUUUAGAUAGCCUGGUUAGAACUGUAUCUUCUAGUGAGAAGUUUUUCAUAGGAGGAGAUCUUAAUGGGCAUGUAGGUACAACAAGUGUAGGCUUCGAGGUGGUUCAUGGAGGUUUUGGGUAUGGUAGUAGGAAUUAGGAAGGAGAGGAAGUCUUGGACUUUGCAGUAGCUUUUGACUUGAUGAUAGCGAACACUUUCUUUAGGAAGGGACGGUCCCAUUUAGUGACUUUUAGUAGUGGCCAACACUAUAGCCAGAUUGACUUUAUCCUCACAAGAAGAGAGGAUAAACGGGCAUGCUUGGAUUGCAAGGUGAUACCAGGGGAAUGUGUUGUUUCUCAACAUAAGCUUGUGGUGGCGGACUUUCAUUUUUAGAUGCAUGCAUGCAGGGAUAAACAAGCCAAGAUUGCAAGAACAAAGUGGUGGAAACUGAAAGAGGAGACGUUAGAGAUCUUCAAGCAAAGGGUAAUCAAAGAGGGCUCUUGGAAGGAAGGAGAGGAUGCAAACAACAUGUGGGAGAAGAUGUCAAACUACAUUUGGAAGGUGGCCUCGGAGGUGCUUGGAGUGACCAAGGGGGGUAGAGGCGUAAAUAAAGAUACUUGAUGGUGGAAUGAGGAAGUCCAAAGGACUAUUAAGGAGAAGAAAGAAUGCUAUAGGCGAUUGUUCCAUGACAGGAGUGUGGACAACAUAGAGAAGUAUAAUGAGGCAAAGAAGAUCGCAAAGCGGGCUAGUGUGGCAAAAGGUAGGGCGUAUGAGGAUCUUUACCAACGAUUAGGUAUGAAGGAAGGAGAGAAGGACAUCUAUAGGAUGGUUAAGGUUCAUGAGAGAAAGACGAGGGACUUUAACCAAGUUAAGUGCAUUAAGGAUGAAAUGGAGAACAUCUUGGUAAAGGAGGAGGAGAUCAAACAUAGAUGGCAAGAGUAUUUUGACAAAUUGUUCAAUGGUUAGAAUGAGAACACAACCUUGCAGUUGGAUGACUCUUUUAAUGGCACCAACAAGCACUUUGUGCGGAAGAUCCAAUAAUCUGAGGUCAGAGAGGCAUUAAAAAGGAUGAAAAGUGGUAAGGCAAUGGGCCCGGAUGGUAUCCCAAUUAAGUUGUGGAGAUGCCUUGAAGAUAUAGCCAUAGUAUGACUAACCAAGUUGUUCAACCAUAUUUUUCGGUCGAACAAGAUGCCAGAAGAGUGGAGGAGAAGUAUACUGGUACCAAUAUACAAGAAUUAGGGAGAUAUUCAAUUUUUACUAAUUAUCGAGGAAUUAAGUUGAUGAGCCAUACUAUGAAGCUAUGGGAGGGAGUUAUCGAGCAUCAUUUGAGAAGGACAACAUGGGUCUCUACGAACCAAUUUGGUUUCAUGCCUGGAAGGUCAACCAUGGAAGCUAUUUUCUUAAUAAGACAAGUUAUGGAGCGAUAUAGGGAGAAGAAGAAGGACCUACACAUAAUUUUCAUUGACUUGGAGAAGGCAUAUGACAAAAUACCAAGGAAUAUUAUAUGGUGGAUUUUGGAUAAACAUAAAGUCCCAACGAAGUACGUUAGACUUAUUAAGGAGAUGUACAACAAUGUUGUAACUAGAGUCCGAACAAGUGAUGGUGACACAGAUGACUUUCUGAUUAGAAUAGGACUGCAUCAAGGGUCUGCUUUGGGUCCUAAUCUAUUUGCCUUGGUGAUGGAUGAGGUAACAAGGGACAUUCAACGGUAUAUCCCUUGGUAUAUGCUCUUCACGGAUGAUGUAGUGCUAGUUGAUGAAAGUUAAGGAGUAAAUAGGAAACUGGAGUUGUGGCGAGAGACCCUAGAGUCAAAAGGUUUUAGACUCAGCAUAACUAAAACUGAAUAUAUGACAUGUGAUUUUUGCACUACUACACAUGAGGAGGGAGAUGUUAGUUUGGAAAGGCAAGUAGUGCCCAAAAAGGAUACAUUUCGAUAUUUGGGAUCAAUGCUACAACGAGAUGGGGAUAUUGAUGAGGAUGUUAGUCAUAGAAUCAAAGCGGGGUGGAUGAAGUGGCGCCAAGCAUCAGGAGUUUUAUAUGACAAGAGGGUACCAUUGAAGCUAAAAGGCAAGUUUUAUAGGACGACGAUUAGAUUUGCAAUGUUGUAUGGUGCAGAAUGUUAGCAUACAAAAAGACGACAUGUCCAGCAGAUAAGUGUUAUGGAAAUGCGUAUGUUGCGUUGGAUUUGUGGUCAUAUGAGAAGGGAUUGAGUACGGAAUGAGGAUAUACAUGAUAGGUUAGGGGUAGUACCAAUUGAAGAAAAGCUUAUCCAACACCGGCUGAGAUGGUUUGUACAUGUCCAACGAAGGCCUCUAGAGGCACCGCUGCAUAGUGAAACCCUAAGACGUGACAGUAUUGUGAAGAGAGGCAAACGAAGACCAAAAUUAACAUGGGAAGAGGCAAUAAAAAGAGAUUUGAAGGGAUGGAAUAUACCCAAAGAUUUAACCUUGGAUAGGAGUGCUUGGAAAAUAGCUAUUCAUAUGCCCGAACCCUAAUUUGUGGCUCUUGUUGGGUUUCAACUCUAGCCUAUCCCAGCUUGCUUGGGAUUGAAAGGCUAUGUUGUUGUUGCUGCUGCUGCAGCUUCCUUCACACUGCUUUGGAUCAUUUCCUUGUAGUUGCAUAAAGCAAAAGCCAAAUCGCAGUCCUGCAUAUCUUGAAGCAUAUGAUUGAAGUCGACAGUUAACUUGGGGCAUCCUCGUUCUUUCAGCCAAGAAAUUUUGGAUGGGUAGAAAGUGCACAUUUCACCGUCCUUCUUAAACCUGAAAAGGAAGCACAACUUAGAAUGAGAGCAGGAGGGGGGGAUCGCAGAAGUUGCUUGUUUGGACGCAAGGUAUUUUAACUUUAAAAAGUGUUUGGUCGAUACCCUGGUUUCUCCUAAUACAGCACAAUAGUAUAAAAAAUGGUAAGAUGUUUGGCUACAAUAGAUACCUUAGCUCUAUGAAAGUGUAAUUUCUCUACUACCAUGGUACUUUUAAAAGAAUACUGGAUGCACAAAUUACUAUUAGUUUUGUCUUCUCUAGGUACAUGAUUUUUGCUACGUAUCUAGAUGCACACCCUGAAAUUUUUGAAUUUCAUGAUGUGAUUAGAAAGAACAAUUAAACAAUAAUUUUUCAUAAUUUUAAAAUUUUUCCAACAUUUAUUGUCUUGACAGAAAAUUUAGUAUAGGAAAACAAUUGGUUAUUUUUUAAAUCAAAUAAGGUUGUUCUGUGUGUGUUGCAUUCAUGCUGGUGCAUUGAUUUUUGUUGUUUGAAUUCAAAUUUGUAUUUGAAUUCAUUUGUUUGAUCCUUUUUAAACAAUAGGACAACCUUUCUCUUUCUCUUUCUUCUUUUGGCCCAUUUCUUCUUUCAGCAGCAGCUCGUAUGCCAGGCCGACCUAGCAGCGGCCCGCUUCCUCCACCAGCCCACUCCCGUGCCUACCUCUGCUUGUCCCACUGACCGCCGGGGCCGGCCUAUCAUCCCCCUCCUCUCGCCUGCACCGAGUUGGACUCGAGCUCGAGUCCCGGCUACUCGCGUGCCCACCUUCGAUUCUUGGCACGCACGCCAAGGUUCGCCUCCCGGACCUAUAAAACCCACCACCUCCGAAGCCCCCAUCACCAAACCCUAAACCCCUCGCCUCACACCCAGCGCCGCCGCUACCCGAGCUCGAACCCUAGCGCACACCCACCGCCAUCAAUCUCUCCCGCCGCUACCUUGCCGUCGACGAGAUCGUCACCUGAAGGUUCGCGUCGUGGUAAGGAACCCGCCGGAGGUCCUCUCGUGCGCUCCCGUUCCCUCUAUCGCAUCCCCGAGCUUGCCGAAGUUGCCGCCGCCGCGCCGAGCCACCUCUUCGAGCCGCGUGUCUCCGUCGCCACCAAAACUACCGCAAGGACACCCUAGUCGCGUUCGUCAUCUCCCUAGCUCGCUCCAGAGCCAAACCCCAUCACGAACGGUGGCCGGACGCUCGUUUUUGAGCGAAUUCCGGCGAGGCCGCCGCUCGUCGCCACCGCGCACCGCCAGCUUGCAACGCCGCUACCACCAUCCCGGCCGACCGCAGCCGUCCGAUCGAGCGCCGACAGCCCAGAUCGGAUCCGACCCGAGUCAAUACCGGUCAACCCCGCCGUCGCUCUGUUCUUUUUGCUAAAGAAUCCCUGAGUUUUAUAGUUUUUGCACCCAAGGUCCUGCGUAGUUCAAAAGUAAUUAGAUCUAACUCCUUUUUCUUCUGUUUAGGCCCCUGCUCUUUUAUAAAAUCCUGCCCGCCAUCGUAGGUCUAUUCUUUUACACGUUAGACCUUCUAUUUAUAUGUAUAAUAGGUUUUAGCCCUUCGUUUCUUUAAGUUUAGUCCCUGCAAGUUUAGUUUUCUCAGAAUUAUGCCCCUAAACCUGGUUUAGCUCUUAUCUUUAGCGUUUUAAAUCCGUUUUAAGCGAUUCUUGGGCCUACAAGUUCGUGUUGACACUUUUAUGGUCCAGUUUUGCUGUUGCUACUGGCUAAUGUAAUGUUUUCUUAUUUUAGUAUUUUGUUUGCUUGUGUGUACUUGUUUGAUGCGCAUAAAAGGAUCGCUGUUCGAAAGAUUUGAAGAUUAAGAGUUUCAAGAGAGCAAGAGUUGAAGAGCAGUAAGAGUAACUUUUCUUGGGAGAAAGGUAAGUGUCCCUAACCAUCCUUCUAUCUGUGCUUAUUUACAAGAAUAUCAUGCAUGCAUUCAUUGGAAUAUGGAGAAAUACCCAGGAAAAUAGUGCAACCACAAGGACUACAUGACUUUGAUCUUGGCUAAUUAAUUAGAGAAUCUAGUUUGAAACGGUCUUACCGAAAGGGCAAGAGGGGUGGCGGCAGAUGGGGUAUGGCCAAAUUAUAUGUGGGCUAAGCCCAAAUAAUGUUUACGAAUAUUUUAAUCUAAUUCACAUUACUAAUAAAUUGUGAUCGGGGAAGGGAAUGGAUUUCAAUUCAUUUCCGAUCUUGUUGGCAAAAUACAGACAUAUAAAUAUUAUGACACAUAAAUAAAUAAUAAAUGUAACACACAUAUUUAUGUAUACAAGAUAAUAAAUUAUUGUUCUCUCUAGAGACUACAAAAUAUUUGUCUUACAAAGAACAGAGCAUAAUAAAUCUACAACCAUGACAUAAGCUCAAACCACAAAGUAAAGUAUUGAUGUUAACCUGUUGUAAAUGUUAGCAGUUGAUGAAUGUGUGCUUUAGUGUCAUGUGCUACCUUCUUAUAAUUCUCAAUCUCGGCUGACAGCAAUCUGUUAGUUGAUUCUGAAUCUUCUGUCUUCUUUUUCAAGAUAGCUAACUUUUACUGGUGAGCAAGAAAUCAUUGUCGAAGUUAUAUCCCAUCUUAUUUGUCAGCCUCAAGUUUCUCAUCAUCAACGUUUCCGCGAAGGAUUUGGCAGAAUUUCUUAAAACUCAGCAAAAUCAUCAGAUUUUCAUUUUGUAAGAGUCAACAUUGAUUUGAUAACUUCAGAAGGCGCACUUUAAUCUUGCAAUCGGUUUAAACUAAGGAAAGAACAUAAAUAAUCAUCGUGUGUUUUGUUUUUACCCUGGAAGGGGACGGAACAGGAGCGACUACAGACCACACGCCACACGCCCACGUACGUACCAGUGUUGCAGCUCUCGGUUCAGACCAGCAGCAGUAAGUUCAGGUUCAGACGCUGAUGAUCGUCAUUUUGAGAACAGCGACACCGUGUAAUUCAUUCGUCGGAUGCUGAUGAUUUGUAACAUAGGAUUCCAAUGGUCGAAAUAUGUCAUUUAACUGAACUCACCUGUGCAUCGGAUGCUUUACAUACAUGGUUGUACUUCGUUUGUACACAAAUAUAUAUAUAGUUGUGCUUGGUGCAUUUGUCGAAGAUCAUGUAAAUAUUCUGUAGCAACCUAAAUGAAUAUUUAUACAUACAUAAUAUUAUCAAAGUGAUCAGCUAAAAAUUAAUCACCUAUUCUUGU
rnacentral:lncRNA from 1 species